AUUGGACGCUGGCGGCAUGCUUUACACAUGCAAGUCGAACGGUAACAGGUUAAGCUGACGAGUGGCGAACGGGUGAGUAAUGCAUCGGAACGUGCCCGGUCGUGGGGGAUAACGCAGCGAAAGCUGCGCUAAUACCGCAUACGAUCUGAGGAUGAAAGCGGGGGACCGUAAAGCCUCGCGCGAUCGGAGCGGCCGAUGUCAGAUUAGGUAGUUGGUGGGGUAAAGGCUCACCAAGCCAACGAUCUGUAGCUGGUCUGAGAGGACGACCAGCCACACUGGGACUGAGACACGGCGCAGACUCCUACGGGAGGCAACAGUGGGGAAUUUUGGACAAUGGGCGAAAGCCUGAUCCAGCAAUGCCGCGUGCAGGAAGAAGGCCUUCGGGUUGUAAACUGCUUUUGUACGGAGCGAAAAGGUCUCCUCUAAUACAGGGGGCUCAUGACGGUACCGUAAGAAUAAGCACCGGCUAACUACGUGCCAGCCGCCGCCGUAA
rnacentral:rRNA from 1 species